rnacentral:lncRNA from 1 species
GUAGAUGUGUUUAUUAUUACCCAUUUUGUCAAGUUAGAGUGCUCAAAUGAGAAAAUUUAAAGUUCGUGUAUUACCUUUCAAAAGCCCUACAAAUUUAAGUGGUCAGAAAAUCAUUACGCCUUACUUUUAUACAAUAAACAAAAGUUGUAUUAUGCUGAUGAUGACCAAGCUGAUGAAAUGAAAAGUUUCGUGGGGCCCAAUCGUUCUAGUAAAGCAAAAGUACUGACAUUGUAGUGAUGUAACAUAACAAAAGCUGACACAACCCAAUCAAAAGUAGAGGGUAUAAUAGUGAAAGCAGGGUAAAGUUCUUUUUUAGCCAAUCAAAUUCAUCUUUUUUAGACUCAAGGGCUCUUACACGCCAUCUUUGUUAAAACACAAAAUAGGCUGAAAUGACAAAAGUAUCCUCUGAUUAACUUUUAAUCACGGGAAGCACAAUAAAAAAUUGAUGGUAUAUUGUACGCUUUUUUGGGAGCUCAAUUUCUUGUAAAAAUUUGAGCUUAAUUCUUUAGUAAUUUAAAGAAUUACUAAAGUUAUUCCACUACCCAGAUCUAGAAUCACAAUUCACGAACUUCUAAGAUUUCAUUACAAGUAAAUGCAACUGUUUUCGAAAUGAAAGAAAUAGUAAAAUGAAAUGUCUAGAAGGGGACUCCAUGGUCUGCGGACGCCGACAGAUCUACCUUGGGUCUCCUAUAGAAUGGAUCCAGCAGCUAACUUCACGAUCAACUUCUUGUUAUCUGUAAAAUAUUUUCAGCCCAAAUUUUUCAUGAAAUAUUCAAACCUAAAAAUGUGUCACCGCCUACCGCUUAUCCAAAAUCAAAAUUACCGCCAAUGAUGAGACUGAUUCAAUCAAGAAUUUUCUAAAGCACAUGACAUAUUAAAUUUCUUGUGCACAAAGGCUUAGCAUGCCAUAAAAGAUACACUAGAGAAACAUAAGAUGACAAGAAAGCUCACAACAAAUUAGCACACCUAGUAUCAGAAAUUGUUCCCAAUUUAUUCUUUUCUUUCUUUCUUUCUUUCUUUCUUUCUUUUUCUUUAACACAUCAUCGUUCAUUUAAUUGUUUGUCAUCCAAAAAUAAUAUAUUCUUUAGCUUAGUGAUGUGGGGUGGACGAAAGGAACAAGAAAAGGGAGCUCUUGUUAGGUGUAGUUAAAUCUAAAACAAUAAUAGAAAUCUUGAAAAGGCCUAAUUCAUUCAGGAAUUGCCUCGAACACCUAAAGAACAAAGGUGAUAGACACUUUAAACUUUCUGUGCAGCAAAGCCUUAGCAUUCCAUGAAAGAUUAAACAGAGAAACAGAAGAUAAGAAGAAGAAAACUCACAAAAAAUAAUAACCCAGAGAGAAAAAUUAGCGAUAAGAUCAGCAACUGCGAGGAGCGAAAAGGUGUGGAACUGGAAAACUGCAAUUUCCAGACGUCUGAGCUUUUAAACUAUUGCUAGAUUGGUUUUUGAUACAGAGAACCUGCAUCUGCCAAGUUUCUCAAAGAGUUGUCUGCCUGGUACCGAUAAGAACAAGAAGAGCAAGAAGUUAGAAGCCAAAGAAGCGGUGAUUGCCAGAUUUUCUGAAGUGGUCGAUAUAAUUCAAGCGAAGCUAAUAAAAAUUAGAUGGAAAGACAAUAUUACCCUUGAAGUGUGAGGCAGACAUGUCGUCCAGGUAAGAGAAUUAUUUAAAACCUUUCUCACCAUAACAAAUUAUAAUCACAGAAAAAAAAUUGUAUUCCCAAUAAAGAAGCAACCUUUCUGCCAAGUGAUCCCUUUAUGACUUAAAAGCAAGGUACAAAUUCCAUUUUUAUUUUAAUACCAGCCAAGAAAUUGCAGACUACAUAAUGCAAACUUCAAUCUCUAAAAUUACUAUAGAUUUAGGUUAUAAGAAUCAAUAGAAACCUCAAUUACGACUUCACUUUUUAGCCAAAAUUGAUCCUUUUACCACUAAGAAAGAAAGGGAAAACAUGCAACAAAAAAUCACAUGUAAUACUAUCACACUUUUCAUUGAAGGAAUAAAUUGGAAACAGAGAGAAGUCAUUAUUCAUUGUAAGAAGUAUGUCCGUCCUUUUUGCAUUUAUGCAGAAUCGAUCACUUCAUAAAUUACGAUAAUUAUUCUUUUGCAGUAAAAACCUUUGAUGUGUAAGAAAGAUGAUGAUCACAUGAGCAUUAUUUACAACCAUUUUUAUAUAAUUUAGCCUCAGCGAAAUGAGAACAAAAACCAUUGAUAUUCCUCAAGAGAAAUACAGAUAGAGAUGAAUCACAAACACUUAAAAAAUAAAGAAGACAAAAAUAUGCAUAAGAAAUUUAAUAGAAAUGGUAAUUCAUUGAAGAAUUUUCUCAAACACCUAGAGAACAAAAGCCAUAACAGAAAUGGUAAUUCAUUAAAGACCAAAAUCCAUUGAUACUCCUCAAGAGAAAUAUAGAUAAUAGAUAAAGAUGAAUCAAAGAGAUGAGAGAAGAGGUACCCACCAAUAAAUAUGAUUGACAGAAGAAAAUACACUGAAGUGCAAACUUAAAACAAACUUAUUGUUAUUGCUUACGACACAAUCCACAGUGGUCGAAAGCUAUAAAAAAACAACCUCCUGCAGAUGGUGUGCAAAAAUGAACUGUAAAGCAAAUUGAUAAUUCAUAAGUUAUCCAAGUGUAAGAAGGAAGCUCUGUAUUUGAGAAUAAAUAUAACAUCAAUUGCCAGUACUCUAGCAUUCGUCUUUCACCUCUUUCUUUAGAUCUAAAUGACCUGCUUAUGGAUUUCGUGAAGAGUUUUUGAAAAACGCUUCUAGACAUUUUAUAAUGUUUACUUCCAUCUCUAUUUUCUUAUUCCAAUUUCAGGCUCCUUUUUAGAUCCUUAUAGUCUUAAUGAUAAACGAAAUUUAAAUCAAUCAUGAAUAAAAUUUAACAUGAUUAUAAGCUAAAGUACCAUAUGAAUUGCACGAAUAGAAAGAACAACUGGAAAAAAACCUUUUCUGUUCCUUAUAUUGCUA